CUGUGUUUAGAGAUUUAGUUUAAGAUAAGGAUCCAGGCAGCACAUCAUAUGGCAUAGAGUUUUUGUAAUGACCCUGCCGUUGACAUCUAGCUCCCUAGUUUUCUUGGAGCAGCGGUGAUGUGUCUGUCUGGCUCUGGACCCAAGGGUUUUUGGGCUCAAUUCACACCUCAAAUCUAUUUUUUUGGUUGCAUACACAUAGCAGACGUUAUUGUGGGUGUAGUGAAAUGCUCGUGUUCCGAGCUCCGACAGUGCAGUAGUAUGUAACAAGCAGUGACGUAGCCUCUGAACCUCAUGCUACUUCCUGGUUUCCUUACACUUUCAGUCAUCUUCCUUUUCCCCUAUUCCCCCAUGCAGCAUUGCUGCUGUGGCCUGUUCCCUCUGAGGGGAUGAUUUGACAACACUCAGAGAGAGAAUUCCCCUGGGCUCAGGCUCACUUCAAGAUAGGCCUGAGUCCUGUGUACAGGGUGAGUGUCGGCGGCGAGGGAGUGACUAACGUGCAGGCCAAUCGGCAGGCCCAGGGGGCAGUGACCCAGUACGCGCCCUGGACAGCAGCAAUGGCUGCAGCCUUGUGGAGCUCCAGCCCAUCACAAGUAGCGACACUUCUGAAGAAUUGAAUCUGGUGUGGUUCCAAGUCAUCUGUUUCUGCAGUCACCCUGCACAUUCUAACUGAUUGCUAUAUAACAUGAUUGCAAAAAAGAUGACACGGAACCUGUCUUCAUUUAGUGGGGGGAAAUUCGGGUGUUUUUACAGACUAAUAUUUUCGACUCAUUCAGUCAAAAGAACAAAUCUUUCGACUCAUUUUGUUCAUUUGAGUCAGUAAUGCUCAGAGAACACAGGACGCUUACCGGCGAAUGAUGAACUAAAAAUUCAAAAUAGUAAUGAUUCUACAAGCCCUCUCGUUCACCAUAAGGGGCUUAUUGGAGCUUUCAUUUGUGAUUGUUUAAAGCACCCUUUUACAAGUCUCAAUGUACAUUUGUUGAUUGCUAGACAUGCAAAUGCGAUUAUGUCUCUGUACAUUUGAAACGAGUUGUGGCCGCAACUCGACUAGAUUGCGAGCGUGUCUUGGGGGAACGCAUUUCUCGACUGUCUUGAGGGUAAUAAGCAUAAUAUUAUUUGCGAACUGCAGCAUUCCAAAUGAUUCAUUCUCAAGUUUGUUCGAGUUUGUUGAGCAGAGGCUGUGUAUGUUUUGGUUCUACAAAGCUGUGUAGAACUUGCGAGAAUAUAUGAUAUAUGCUGUCCGGAGCACGUUAACGGAGGAGUGCGUAUUAAUCCUGCUGUAGAAUUAAUUGCGGCCAGCAGUUCAAACGACUUAAAACGAACGAGUCAAAUCAGAAUAAUUGUAUCAUAACUAUCGAGUCAGUAAAAAGUCCUUCAAAAAGAACAGAUCGUUCUUUAGUCUUCGUGUUGUUGAGGGGUCUGCUACACACUAAUAGCUCACAUUAACCUAGGUCAUAGAAGAAACGAUGCUCCUUUGAACAGUAGCACCAUUUUUGAACAACCUUGUGAACCAGCAUAGCAACCUGUUCACUGUGUCUCUUGCCUCAUCCAUCCAUCUCCUGCUCAUAGGGGUGAGGAUCCACACCCCAGCAUACGCUCUGGGGUGUCAUAUCCUUGGGGACCACAAAAACUUCCACCUUAGAAAUUGCUGGAUGGUUUGUUACCGAGCCUGGGAUUGAAACAAAGCAAGGCACGUCGCCUUCUUCCCUAACCCUGCACGCACAUCAGCUGACACUGCCAGUGAUAUCACUGUGUCCUACCCCCUGCUGAAGUACUUCACCACCAGCACCCUGCGACGACUGCAGAUCCCCAUUCCAGAUAAGAGGAUGAAUGGUGCAUCAGCGGCUCCUCUGCAGAGCAGACAGGAUACAGAAGACUCUCUUAAAAUCAGAAAUACGGAGCGGCAUCACUUCUAGUGACCUUUGUCCUAAUGGUUGUCCCAAGUUCCAAGAGCUAAGGCCUAACUGAAAUUCUUAAAAAGCCACACACACUCAUUCACAGUACAAAGGCACGUUUGGGGGGGAAAAAACAGACUUUCUUAUUUAGCCUCCAACACCACUAGAAUAUCAAUACAUACAGGAGAUCAUAAAUGCCAAUAAAAAUACAUGUAAAAAAAAAAAAAAAAAA